rnacentral:lncRNA from 1 species
AAGAAAUCAAAGCUGACCCUUAUGGAACUCGUGUUAACUUGCUUGGUUAUCUCAACAUCAAGUUUACAAAACAGAAGCAACAGGGAAGGUGAGGAAUGAAGAGCAUCUACGGAUACAGGCAUGAGAACAGACAACCUGAAAAUUCAUAAAAGGAAUUAAAGACAGCAGGUUACAGUAUUUAAACUCAAGUUCUACGGACCUUUGUAUUCAACAAAGGAGCUCUGAUCAUCA